UACGUAGGGGGCAAGCGUUGUCCGGAAUCAUUGGGCGUAAAGCGCGUGUAGGCGGUUCAGUAAGUCUGCUGUGAAAGUCCAGGGCUCAACCCUCGAAAGCCGGCGGAUACUGUCGGACUAGAGUGCGGAAGAGGCGAGUGGAAUUCCUGGUGUAGCGGUGAAAUGCGCAGAUAUCAGGAGGAACACCAAUUGCGAAGGCAGCUCGCUGGGACGCUACUGACGCUGAGACGCGAAAGCGUGGGGAGCAAACAGG
rnacentral:rRNA from 1 species